rnacentral:rRNA from 1 species
GGGCCCGCACAAGCGGUGGAGUAUGUGGUUUAAUUCGAUGCAACGCGAAGAACCUUACCAGGGUUUGACAUCCUGCGAAUCUCUUGGAAACAGGAGAGUGCCUUCGGGAACGCAGUGACAGGUGGUGCAUGGCUGUCGUCAGCUCGUGUCGUGAGAUGUUGGGUUAAGUCCCGCAACGAGCGCAACCCACGUCUUUAGUUGCCAUCAUUUAGUUGGGCACUCUAAAGAGACUGCCGGUGAUAAGCCGGAGGAAGGUGGGGACGACGUCAAGUCCUCAUGGCCCUUACGGGAUGGGCUACACACGUGCUACAAUGGCAGUGACAAUGGGUUAAUCCCAAAAACUGUCUCAGUUCGGAUUGAGGUCUGAAACUCGACCUCAUGAAGUCGGAAUCGCUAGUAAUCGC